CUUUGAAAAGACUGUGAUUUACUACACCAGUAAAGAAGACAUCUGGGAGAGAAGAGCUAAGCCUAUUCAAAGCUCAGAGAGUUUACAAUUUAUAAAUUUAAAUUAUCUGCUUUCAGCAUUAAAAUGAUGUUUCAGAAUGACAAAAGGAAGUGAUCACUGGUGUACAUCAGGCUGACUUAACCACAGGCUUCACUGGCAGCGUGCAAAAGAGGUUUUGUAAAUGUAACGUUAAGAAUAAAUGGCGGUUAUUCUCCAUUCAUCUGUUUGCUGCGAGCAAGACAGAAUAAGCAAAAGCAACAGAAGGAUCACCAGACGCCGAAAGCCGAUGUGGUUGAAACUGAACCUGCAGAAGCCGGAGCAGAAAUGCAGAUCACAACUGUCUAGUGUUCAUGAAGUCAUCAGAUUCUGGAUCAAAAAAACCAAUGGCUACAGUGCACAGUCUCAGGAAUUGUUUCUGAGAGUCCAGUAACCAUUAUCCGUG
ensembl:lncRNA